CAAUUUUUGGAUAAUCGCAUGUCGCUUUUUUCUGUCGGCAUGAGGAAAGUCCAUGCUAGCACUGGCUGUGAUGCCAGUAGUGUUUGUGCUAGGUGAAACAAUAAGCCUAGGGAUGUCUAUUUGACAUUACGGCGGACGAUGAGGCUAAGUCCUUGGAUAUGCCUCUAGUCCUGAAAGUGCCACAGUGACGGAGCCUUUGAGGAAACUCAAGGGGUGGAACGCGGUAAACCCCUCAAGCUAGCAACCCAAACUUUGGUCGGGGCACGAGAUGGCUGGAAUGCGAACGGACCAUCUUGACUGCGCAAGCAGUAGACAGAUGAUUAUCGAAGGGGGUAGGACCUAGUACCUCUGGAACAAAACAUGGCUUAUAGAAAAU
rnacentral:RNase_P_RNA from 1 species